ACGCUCGACACCUACAGGAGGCAGCAGUGGGGAAUAUUGCACAAUGGGGGGAACCCUGAUGCAGCGACGCCGCGUGAGUGAAGAAGUACUUCGGUAUGUAAAGCUCUAUCAGCAGGGAAGAAAAUGACGGUACCUGACUAAGAAGCCCCGGCUAACUACGUGCCAGCAGCCGCGGUAAUCUGAGCGGGCUGGCAAGGC
rnacentral:rRNA from 1 species